ACGGCGAGUGAAGCGGCAACAGCUCAAAUUUGAAAUCUGGCCUCGGCCCGAGUUGUAAUUUGUAGAGGAUGCUUUAGGCGCGGCUCCUUCUGAGUGCCCUGGAACGGGACGCCACAGAGGGUGAGAGCCCCGUAUAGUUGGAAGCCUAGCCUGUGUAAAGCUCCUUCGACGAGUCGAGUAGUUUGGGAAUGCUGCUCAAAAUGGGAGGUAAAUUUCUUCUAAAGCUAAAUACCGGCCAGAGACCGAUAGCGCACAAGUAGAGUGAUCGAAAGAUGAAAAGCACUUUGAAAAGAGGGUUAAAUAGCACGUGAAAUUGUUGAAAGGGAAGCGCUUGUGACCAGACUUGCGCCGGGCUGAUCAUCCGGAGUUCUCUCCGGUGCACUCUGCCCGGCUCAGGCCAGCAUCGGUUCUCGCGGGGGGAUAAAGGCCUCGGGAACGUAGCUCCUCCGGGAGUGUUAUAGCCCGGGGCGUAAUGCCCUCGCGGGGACCGAGGUUCGCGCAUCUGCAAGGAUGCUGGCGUAAUGGUCAUCAGCGACCCGUCUUGAAACACGGACC
rnacentral:rRNA from 1 species